CGUCUAACAACACUGGCAACCACGAGAACAUUUCCCUCAGCUGCGAUGAGGGGAAGGUAGGCGCUGAGAAUGAGUACAAUGUUAAAGAUGAUAUUGGAGAAAAUGUCUCCCUGGGAGACAUCAGUAACAUUCAUGUUUCUGGAGCAAACCGAGGAUGCAUUGGAGGAAGGAACGAGUACACUGUGAAAGGAAAAAUCCCAGCCAAGUCAAACAUUGGCAACGUCAGAAAUGUGACCGUUGGUAACAACUCGGGAUCAAUUGGUUCCGGGAACCGCAUUAACAUCAGCUGAGGAACUCAAUUGGCUAAAAAUGAUGACUUAUAAAGAAAAUAUUUGUGUUAAAUUCAUACUUUGACAGCAGCAAAGAUCAUUGAGAUUCUUC